AGGUAGAGGAAUGUCUGCGACUAAGCCGAGGGCCACUGGAUAAGGGUUGUUGAUGGUAAAACAGGUUAAAGACUACAUGAGACUUUGACAGAUGGCGGGAAACCCUCAUCCACUGGUACGAACCCGGUAGAGGAAUGUCUGCGACUAAGCCGAGGGCCACUGGAUAAGGGUUGUUGAUGGUAAAACAGGUUAAAGACUACAUGAGACUUUGACAGAUGGCGGGAAACCCUCAUCCACUGGUAGAGGAAUGUCUGCGACUAAGCCGAGGGCCACUGGAUAAGGGUUGUUGAUGGUAAAACAGGUUAAAGACUACAUGAGACUUUGACAGAUGGCGGGAAACCCUAAUCCACUGGUACGAACCCGGUAAAUUGAUGGCUGUAAAACAGUGACCGCUGAUUCGCAUCGAGUUCUUUCUUGCAAAACGCAUGACCCCCCUUUUUUAUUGUCUAAAUCAUUGCGGCUUGGAAUGCUCUUUAAGAAAAGGUAGAGGAAUGUCUGCGACUAAGCCGAUGGCCACUGGAUAAGGGUUGUUGAUGGUAAAACAGGUUAAAGACUACAUGAGACUUUGACAGAUGGCGGGAAACCCUAAUCCACUGGUACGAACCCGGUAAAUUGAUGGCUGUAAAACAGUGACCGCUGAUUCGCAUCGAGUUCUUUCUUGCAAAACGCAUGACCCCCCUUUUUUAUUGUCUAAAUCAUUGCGGCUUGGAAUGCUCUUUAAGAAAAGGUAUGGUUAUGGGGGUCUCUAUGCGCAAAAGUUUGACUUUAUUUUGUGUUGAAGUUAUUGCUUUUACAUUGAAUUUGUGUAGGAAAUCUUUUGGUAUAUUGUAACCAUAAUAGUUGA